GAUGAACGCUGGCGGCGUGCCUAAUACAUGCAAGUCGAGCGAACGGACAGUAAGCUUUCUUCUCUGAUGUUAGCGACUGGCGGGUGGGUGACACGUGGAUCACCUACCUCUAUGACUUGGGUAACUUCGUGAGGCCGGAUCUAAUACCACCUCAUAUUUUGUACCGCAUGGUUCAAAAGUUCAUCACGGUCUUGCUGUCACUUAUAGCUGGAUCCGCGCUGCAUUAGGUAGUUGGUAAGGUAACGGCUGACCAAGGCAACGAUGCAUAUCCGACCUGAGAGGGGGAAUGGGCAAAACGGAAAUGAGAAACGGUCCAGACUCCUAAGGGAGGCAGCAGUAGGGAAACUUUCGCAAUGGGCGAAAGCCUGAAGGAGCAAAGCCGCGGGAGGGAAGAAGGGCCUCGGAUUGGAAAACUCUGUUAGUAGGGAAGAAAAUAUGGGUAAGUAACUGCGCACAUCUUGACGGUACCUAAACAGAAAGACACGGCUAACUACGUG
rnacentral:rRNA from 1 species